GAUGAACGCUGGCGGCGUGCCUAAUACAUGCAAGUCGAGCGAACAGACGAGGAGCUUGCUCCUCUGACGUUAGCGGCGGACGGGUGAGUAACACGUGGAUAACCUACCUAUAAGACUGGGAUAACUUCGGGAAACCGGAGCUAAUACCGGAUAAUAUAUUGAACCGCAUGGUUCAAUAGUGAAAGACGGUUUUGCUGUCACUUAUAGAUGGAUCCGCGCCGCAUUAGCUAGUUGGUAAGGUAACGGCUUACCAAGGCGACGAUGCGUAGCCGACCUGAGAGGGUGGACGGGCACACUGGGACUGAGACACGGCCCAGACUCCUACGGGAGGCAGCAGUGGGGAAUAUUGCACAAUGGGCGCAAGCCUGAUGCAGCGACGCCGCGUGAGGGAUGGAGGCCUUCGGGUUGUGAACCUCUUUCGCCAGUGAAGCAGGCCUGUCCCUUGUGGGUGGGUUGACGGUAGCUGGAUAAGAAGCGCCGGCUAACUACGUG
rnacentral:rRNA from 1 species